rnacentral:rRNA from 1 species
UUUUAAAGACCUAGUAAUAGGUAUGCUUAAAGAGGAGCUUGCGUCACAUUAGUUAGUUGGUAGGGUAAAAGCCUACCAAGACUAUGAUGUGUAGCCGGGCUGAGAGGUCAAACGGCCACAUUGGGACUGAGACACGGCCCAAACUCCUACGGGAGGCAGCAGUAAGGAAUUUUCGGCAAUGGAGGAAACUCUGACCGAGCAACGCCGCGUGAACGAUGAAGUAUUUCGGUACGUAAAGUUCUUUUAUUAGGGAAGAAAAGAUGGUGGAAAAACCAUUAUGACGGUACCUAAUGAAUAAGCCCCGGCUAACUAUGUGCCAGCAGCCGCGGUAAUACAUAGGGGGCAAGCGUUAUCCGGAAUUAUUGGGCGUAAAGGGUGCGUAGGCGGUUAAAUAAGUUUAUGGUCUAAGUGCAAUGCUCAACGUUGUGAUGCUAUAAAAACUGUUUAGCUAGAGUUGGAUAGAGGCAAGUGGAAUUCCAUGUGUAGUGGUAAAUGCGUAAAUAUAUGGAGGAACACCAGGAGCGAAGGCGGCUUGCUGGGUCUUAACUGACGCUGAGGCACGAAAGCGUGGGGAGCAAACAGGAUUAGAUACCCUGGUAGUCCACGCCCUAAACGAUGAGUACUAAACGUUGGGUAAAACCAGUGUUGAAGUUAACACAUUAAGUACUCCGCCUGAGUAGUACGUACGCAAGUAUGAAACUUAAAGGAAUUGACGGGACUCCGCACAAGCGGUGGAUCAUGUUGUUUAAUUCGAAGGUACCCGAAAAACCUCACCAGGUCUUGACAUGCUUUUGCAAAGCUGUAGAAAUACAGUGGAGGUUAUCAAUUGCACAGGUGGUGCAUGGUUGUCGUCAGCUCGUGUCGUGAGAUGUUGGGUUAAGUCCCGCAACGAGCGCAACCCUUGUUGUUAAUUGCCAGCAUGUAAUGAUGGGGACUUUAGCAAGACUGCCAGUGAUAAAUUGGAGGAAGGUGGGGACGACGUCAAAUCAUCAUGCCCCUUAUGACCUGGGCUACAAACGUGAUACAAUGGCUGUUACAAAGGGUAGCUAAAGCGCAAGCUUCUGGCGAAUCUCAAAAAAGCAGUCUCAGUUCGGAUUGAAGUCUGCAACUCGACUUCAUGAAGUUGGAAUCGCUAGUAAUCGCGAAUCA